rnacentral:rRNA from 1 species
UUCAGGUCUAGCGGCGGACGGGUGAGUAACGCGUGGGAAUGUGCCCUUCUCUACGGAAUAGUCCCGGGAAACUGGGUUUAAUACCGUAUACGCCCUUCGGGGGAAAGAUUUAUCGGAGAAGGAUCAGCCCGCGUCUGAUUAGGUAGUUGGUGGGGUAAUGGCCUACCAAGCCUACGAUCAGUAGCUGGUUUUAGAGGAUGAUCAGCCACACUGGGACUGAGACACGGCCCAGACUCCUACGGGAGGCAGCAGUGGGGAAUCUUAGACAAUGGGCGCAAGCCUGAUCUAGCCAUGCCGCGUGAGUGAUGAAGGCCUUAGGGUCGUAAAACUCUUUCGCCAGGGAUGAUAAUGACAGUACCUGGUAAAGAAGCCCCGGCUAACUCCGUGCCAGCAGCCGCGGUAAUACGGAGGGGGCUAGCGUUGUUCGGAAUUACUGGGCGUAAAGCGCGCGUAGGCGGACUAUUAAGUCAGGGGUGAAAUCCCGGGGCUCAACCCCG